GAAAAAGGAAUAGAACUGUGAAGUCCUCAAGCCUAGUUUUGCACGCAAAAGUGAAUUUGAAUGUUUAAACAAUAGAAAUUAUCCUGCACUCAAAAACCAUGAAGAAUGCAGGCUACUUAAUUUCGGUAUUUAUAAUUUACCCGGAUUUAUUUUUCUGUGUCAAAAGUGAAUCUGUUCCAAUAACCAUAUAUCAAGGUUUUACACAAUCUUGUGCAUUUUCAAAAUUUCCGGUCAGGUUAACCACUCUAGAAGAUACCAAAAAAAAGACAAUUGUAUCGUUAGCACUCUACGAUUCCAACUCAAAAUGGUGCUUGAGAAGCUCUCAGAAUAUCAAACUUCCUGAUAUUUUAAACGCAGCGGAAUUUGAUUUCAUAGUUUUGAAAUUUACAUCUUUUGAUAUCUCAAGUAGAGAAUUUUUACAAGUAAUCAUCAAAGUUUAUUUUGUAUUGCUCGGAUUUGUCAGAAGGAACUAACAAGCCCAAAAAAUAAGCUCUGCGUUGUUAUGGCUCGAUCAUAUUCUUAAAACACACUAUUCAGUAAAUCCAAUUUUUUUAACAUUAGACAAAAUUUCGGAAGGUGAUAAAACUGCAGGAGAAAAGCUUGUUUCGUCAGUUCACUGUGCACAGCAGAGCAAAAUAAAAAAAAAUGCAAUACAGAAAAAAUUCCGGAGCAGUAAAAAUAUUAUUUACUAUAUCAAAUAAUAAAAAUAGUAGCAUGAAAAACAUGCCACUUACUCAAGUAAAUACUGGGGAAAAUUCUAAUAAAGUGAAAAAUUCUAUGACAAAGAAUCAAGGCCAAUAAAUUGUAGGCAAUUUAGAUUCAAAUUCUGGUUACAGCAAUGGUGAUAAACAAAAAGUUGCACCAUUCUACACCGAAAAAAAAGAAUUAUCCAGUGUAAAAAAUACAGAGGAAAAGACACUUAGCAGUCGAAGUUUCUAAAAAUGGUUAAGGAACCGGUAUCAAGUGAUGGCAAGACAAGAGGAAACAAAAGAACAAACGAAAAUUUAUUGCUGAUCUAGAAGUAUCAGUUCCACCUACUGAUUUGGAAUGGGGGGGGGGGGGCAUUGCCCUCUAGCAUGCAAAAAAAUGUUGCUUUGAAUUUUUGGACCACCGUAAUUUAUAUGUAACAUGUGUGUAUUAAAUUAAUAUUAUUUUAAUUAGAAGAAUAAACGAACAAAACUGUACUUAUUACCAGCCUACAGCAGAAAAUAAAACACUUGGCAGAACAUCUGAAAAACGAGAGGAAAGAUUUGAAGUCAAAAGAUGGACUUAUUCAAGAACUUAAAAAUCUUUGUCCUCUAUAGCAACUGGAGUUACGAGUAAUGGUCUAACAAAUAACGGUAAACAUUCCGUAAUCAUAGAUGACUCAAAGACCAAUUGGAAAGUGAACAUAGGCAGAGGAGUCUCUGGUACAUGAAAUCGGGCUGAAUGACAUCAAAAACUGUAAAAAACUCAACACAUCGAAAAUUGUGAGUGGUUUAGCCAUUCCCAUUUUUGACGACGUUGAGUUAAAAAGAAGCCAGUAUCUGAGGUGUUUGCAGACACGCAAUAACCUCGGCGAGAGCAAUGAAUAUGGAAAUGGGAAGCAAUAUUUCAAUAAAAAAUUUAAAUAUAUUAAAGAGCUGUUGCGGAAAGAAGAACCAAUUCCAUUUCCUGAGGUGCAAUUAUCUUUUCUGAAUUAGGCAAGAGUGCGGAAAUUCGGCUAAUUUAAGAAAUAAACUCACUAUAAAUUAAAAACUUGUCUGACAUACCUUCCCCGAAGAAGAGGAGAAUAACAAUUAAUUAAUACUCCGUGGUCCAGGUGGGACUUUGAAGUCAAUGAGGUUUUUCUCAAUGUUAUUUUUAUUAUGAAAAUCUGCAAAAAUUCACAGUUAAACUGAAACCCCGUUUCAGUUUGCGCCCGGAUAAGUUCACUCUCGUGUAAGUUCACGCGUUGUUUUUCGUUUAGGUUUACUUUCACCUCCCCAGUAAGUUCUGAAUGCUCCGCCCGUUCAAGCUUCCCAUGUUAUGUCAACCAAUCGCAACAGUAUAUGGAGGAGUAAACUUAAACGGGGCUUCAGUGUUUUCUUCUCAGUCCAUACAAUGGAUUCAAAGAAAGUAUUUUGUUAUUGGUAGGUUUAUAUAUAUUUUUUUUAAAUUAAUUAUUUGAAGAAAUGUUCUGAAAAAAUGGAAAAUUACUAAAAAAAUUCAUAUUUUAUUCAAAAAUUAAUUUCAUCAAUAAACACUUCGCGGCUGAUAAGAGUAUAAUUAUUUUUGUGACUGAAAAUGUACGUAUUUCAGAGAGCUUCAGGCAAGCAAAAUUACUAAUACAAACAAGUUUUUUUUCAGUUUAAAAAUUAAACAUUUUAUUGCAACUUUUUGUCAUACUUUUGUCACAUACGGUCUAUUGUUGAAUAAAAAAUUGUAAUUUUUGGUUUUUCGAUUAUUUUGUAUGCUGUCAAAAUUUGAAUUUUUAAUUUUUCAAAAAAUUUCAAAAA